GUUGCCGGACCACUUAGCGGCAUCGAGGAAACGCAAUAUACAUACAUAUAACCGGAAGAUUUGGCAUAUGAACGCACUAAAUCACUUCACCAAGGCGCUUGGAAACAACAUGUCAACAAAAUGAGCAAUUCAACAAAGUUUAGCAGCCAAGAAAUAUAGCUAUGGAAUACAACAAACAAAAUGGCAAGCAGGCGAAAAAAAAAACAUAGCAGCGAAAUGAAUUCGCCAACAAACGAAAACAUUAUUCAUUGAAUG
rnacentral:sRNA from 1 species